CCGGCCCGCCCGCCUGCAGCAGCCCGCAGCCUGCUGCCGCCACCGCCGCCAGCUUGUCCGUCAGACUGUCAGAUAAAGCGGCGGGCCGGGCCGGCUGGGCGGUGAGCACGGCCCGGGCCGGACAUGGCGGCUCUCUACGCCUGCACCAAGUGCCACCAGCGCUUCCCCUUCGAGGCGCUGUCUCAGGGGCAGCAGCUGUGCAAGGAAUGUCGGAUUGCACACCCUGUUGUGAAGUGCACCUACUGUAGAACUGAAUACCAGCAGGAGAGUAAAACCAAUACAAUAUGCAAGAAAUGUGCUCAGAAUGUGCAGUUAUAUGGAACGCCCAAACCUUGUCAAUACUGCAACAUAAUUGCCGCGUUCAUCGGCAACAAAUGCCAGCGCUGCACGAACUCAGAGAAGAAGUACGGACCACCAUAUUCGUGUGAACAGUGUAAGCAGCAGUGUGCAUUUGACAGGAAAGAUGACAGAAAGAAGGUAGAUGGGAAAUUGCUGUGCUGGCUGUGCACGCUUUCAUAUAAACGGGUCCUUCAGAAGACCAAAGAGCAGAGGAAACAUCUGAGCAGCUCUUCCCGUGCCAGCCACCAGGAGAAGGAACAGUAUAGUCGACUCAGUGGUGGCAGCCAUUAUAACAGCCAGAAAACACUUUCUACAUCGUCAAUUCAAAAUGAAAUCCCAAAGAAAAAAUCCAAGUUUGAGUCAAUCACAACCAAUGGAGACAGCUUUUCCCCAGACCUGGCUCUGGACUCACCAGGCACUGACCACUUUGUCAUCAUUGCCCAACUGAAGGAAGAAGUGGCCACUCUGAAGAAGAUGCUACAUCAAAAGGAUCAAAUGAUUUUAGAGAAAGAGAAGAAGAUCACAGAGUUGAAGGCUGAUUUUCAAUACCAAGAAUCUCAGAUGAGAGCCAAAAUGAACCAGAUGGAGAAAACCCACAAAGAAGUCACAGAGCAAUUGCAGGCUAAAAACCGAGAGCUCCUGAAGCAGGCAGCUGCCUUGUCUAAGAGCAAGAAGUCCGAGAAGUCAGGAGCUAUAACCUCUCCGUGAGAGACCAUAAGGAGGCUCCCAGGCAACAGCAAAGGGGUUCCUGGCUUAGGUUUAAGUGCUUGCUUUGUUAUAAACACUGUGCUAGACAAUGAGAAUACAGAAGUGAAGAAGAUUGACAGUUACUGUCCUUAUGGGCUUCUGCUUCGUGAAAUAUUGGACAACACCAUUGUUUCUUGAUUUUGUAUUUACCAUUAUUUUUCGAAAUAUGAUACAGGAUGAAUCUUUAUAAGAGAUAGAGACAGCCAGCGAGAGAGAGAACACAAGCAGGGGGAGUGGGAGAGGAAGAAGCAGGCUCAUAGCGGAGGAGUCUGAUGUGGGGCUCGAUCCCAUAACGCCAGGAUCACGCCCUGAGACGAAGGCAGACGCUUAACGACUACACCACCCAGGCGUCCCUGGUACUGGUAGGUUUUAACAUUAAUAACAGGUGCCUCUUAGAUAUUGUCACUGUCACAUCCUGGUCAUUCGAUUUCAUAGACUCAAUGACAACUUACUUUCUCUAAAUUCAAGACAGUUUUAUUUUGUAGGUACCAUGGUCUGAAUGUUUGUGCCCCUCCCCCCCAAUUGAUACAUUGAAAUCGUAACCCCAAAGAUGUUAGUGUUAGAAGGUGGUACCUUCCUCUAGAAGGUGCUUAGGCUCUGCCUUCAUGGAUGGAAUCAGAGACACCUUGCCUCUACCGCCAUGUGAGGACACAGCAGAAGGCACAGACUGUAGACCAGAAAGAAGGCCAUCACUAACGUAACCGUGCUGGCACCUUGAUCUUGAACCAGCCUCCAGAACUCUUGAGAAAUACGUUUCUGUUGUUUAUAAGCAUAUAAGUUUAUCUUAUAAGUUUAUCUGCGAUAUAUUGUUACAGCAGCCCAGAAACACUAAGACGGUAGGCUAUGUUUAUAACCAUCUUUAUUGUGUGAAUUACUUUAUCCAUUUACUCAGCCUUAAAAACCACUGUAGGGGAAUUAUAUAGUAUAAACAGUUCAAGAGGGUCUUCAGCCACUUGAAAUAACCGUCCAAAUUUAGGACUUUGGUUCCAUCCUUUGUGGUUUAAGAUCAUACGUUACCUGCAGUAUAGCUGUCUUCGCAACUGAUGGCCCUCUCAAGGGUCUUGGAGGAGGGGCCAUUUCUGGGAAGGCCCAAACUGUCAGGAGUUGCAGGGUAUCCUGAUUAUUAUUCCUACAUAAGAAACUACCCCCAAAUUUAAAUAUGCCCACAGACCCUAUUGGUCAAGAAUUUGGACAGGGCACUGUGGGGAUGACUGCUCUUUGUUCUACAAUGUCUGGGUCCUCAGUUGGGAAGAUUCAAAAGCUGAGGAAUGCUUCCUGGAGCUGGAAUCAUCUCUAAAGGCUGUUUACUUGUAUAUCUAGUGCCGGGCCGGGAUGACUGGAAGUCCAGUAAUGCUGACUAGAGCACCUUACGUGGGACCCUUCCAUAUAUAACUUGGCCUUCCCAAGCAUGGUGGCUCAAGGUAAUCAGACUUCUUCCACGAUACCUCUAGACUGCAAGCACAAGUGAUCCAGUGAACAAAGCUGACGAUGUGUACAUCUUCUGGUCUGUGUUCGGAGGUCACAUUACCUUACUCGUGCAGUACUCUAUUGGUUAAACAGUCAGAAGCCCAUCCAGACUUGAGGGGAGGGGACAUAGAUUCCUUCUCUUUAUGAGAGAAUGACAAAGUAGAAGAGCAUGUUGGGUGGAAACUAUUGUGGUGGCUAACUUAAAAAAUAGAAUCUGCCACAUAGAUUCUGGAACCAAACCAAAUCCAAGAGAGCAAGGCAGAACUGCAGUGUCUGGGGCACCUGGGUGGCUCAGUUGUUAAGCAUCUGCCUUCGGCUCGGUGUGAUCCCGGGGUCCUGGGAUGGAGCCCCACAUCGGCCUCCCUGCUCCGCUGGGACCCUGCUUCUUCCUCUCCCACUCUCUCUGCUUGUGUCCCUCUAUCGCUGGCUGUCUCUCUCUCUGUCAAAUAAAUAAAAUCUUAAAAAAAAAAAAAGAACUGCAAUGUCUUUCAAGGUCUAACUUCAGGUGUGGCUCUCCAUCAUUUCUGCAAUAACUUACUGAUUACAGAGGUCAAAUUACUGACACUAUUCGAGACAGAAUGAUGCCACCCACGUGGGUACAUACCAGGAGGUAAGGAUCUUCGGGGUCUGUCUUGUAGGCUGGCUACCACAUUGCCCUUUGGCCUAUAGGAUUGAGUAAAACCCAUGUGAACCUCUAGAUUUGGAAGCCAGAAGUGAAAGCGUCAGUUUGGGAAAAGUAGUUCAUAUCCCUCAGCUCUUCCUGGAACCAAUGCCUACUUUCCCUACCACUGUUUGCCAGGUUGUCGCUGCAACAGAUCAUCAACUCUACUUGAAAAUUGAUGCCGGAGUUGUGCCAUGGUUAACUCUGACGUCAGACUGCAUGGGUUUGAGCUCUGUCUCUCCUUAGUUUACAGUUGGUGUGAAGAUGAAGUCGUAUCUGUAGAAGUCGUUAGAACAGUGCUUGGCACGUAGUAUGCACUAAACUUUGUAAGCAAUUUUUAUGCGUGACUUCUAUGGAAUCUACAUUUUCUAUUUCCUGAGGGGGAAAGUAAUAGAGUCAUAAAUUAGAAUCACCAUGGAUGUCCACUUGUUUUGGCUUCCAUUGUUACCUUAUCCCAAGGUCCCAUUUAGGCCCUCAGAACAUUCAUGCAACUCACAACUUGUCUAUUCUUUUCUCGACUCCAAACGACCCACCUCGUGCAUGCCACUUCAUCACACUGGUUCGUAGAGUGUUGUUUUUUUUUAAGUUUAAUAAGAUAUCGAUCGCAUAUAGUAAAAUUUAUCCAUCUUUGUAUACAGAUCAAAGAGUUUUGGUGGAUGUAUUCCGUUGUGUAAUCACCACAAUCAAGAUAUAAAACAUUUCUAGCAACCUCAAAACUUCCCUUAUGCCCCUUGGUAGUUAAUCCCCUUCCCCCAACUCCAGCCCCUGGCAACCAUUAAUUUGAUUUCUACCGCCGUAGCUUUGCCUUUUCUAGAAUGUCUCAUAAAUGAAAUCAUACAGGGACGCCUGGGUGGCUCA